GUGGGGAAUUUUUCGCAAUGGGGGAAACCCUGACGAAGCAACGCCGCGUGGAGGAUGAAGGCCUUCGGGUCGUAAACUCCUGUCGACCGGGACGAACGUAGUCGGGUCCAAUACACCCGGCUAUCGACUGUACCGGUGGAGGAAGCCACGGCUAACUCUGUGCCAGCAGCCGCGGUAAUACAGAGGUGGCAAGCGUUGUUCGGAAUUACUGGGCGUAAAGGGCGCGUAGGCGGUUCGUUAAGUCCUGUGUGAAAUCCCCCGGCUCAACUGGGGAACUGCACAGGAAACUAGCGGGCUUGAGUUCGGGAGAGGGAAGCGGAAUUCCGGGUGUAGCGGUGAAAUGCGUAGAUAUCCGGAGGAACACCGGUGGCGAAGGCGGCUUCCUGGACCGACACUGACGCUGAGGCGCGAAAGCUAGGGGAGCAAACGGGAUUAGAAACCCUAGUAGUCC
rnacentral:rRNA from 1 species